GUAGCAGUUUGAGAUGCAUGCAUGCUUUAUAACUCGUGUCUACGCUUUCUGGUUAAAUGGGCUUCCUUUGGAAAUGACCACAGAUGGCAAGGACAUUCAUGGAUAAUGGUGAUAAAAAACAAUAUAGUGCUGGCACAAAACAGAUGCCCUGAUCAAUGGGAUAGAUUUGAGGAUCCAGAUAUAAGUCCAUGCAACUACAGUUAACUGAUUUUUGACAAAGAUGCCAGAUACAUAUACAAGAGAAAAGGCAGAAUCUUCAAGUAGUGCUGGGGAAAGUGGAUGUCAACAUGUAAGAGGAUGAAACUACAUCCUUAUCCCUCAGCCCACACAAAACUCACCUCCAGAUGGAUCAAGGAGUUCAACAGAAGCCGGGUGCCCAGGAAGUGCUGGGGGAAAAGGUAGAGGCUGUACUUCCACUUGCAGGCAUGGGGAAGGCCGCUCCAAGUAAGACUGAUAGCACAGGAAAGCCAACAACUGACAAAUAGGGUCUCAUAGAACAGAACAGCUUCUGAACAACUGUGAAACAGGGAAUAGCAGCCCACACAGUGGGAGAAAGUCUUCGCCAGCUACCAGCUGAUAGAAAAUUAGUGUCCAUACUGUACCAGGAACUCUGGGAGAAAGUCUUCACCAGCUAUCAGCCAAUAGAAAAUUAGUGUCCAUACUGUACCCGGAACUCUGGGAGAAAGUCUUCACCGGCUAUCAGCCAAUAGAAAAUUAGUGUCCAUACUGUACCGGGAACUCAAAAAACUAGACAUUAAGAAAACAAGUAACAUCUAGAAAGUUGACUGCAGAACUGAGCAGAAAAUUCUUGAAAGGAAUGUCCAGGAAAUAUUUUUUUAAAUGUGAUCAGCAAGCUGGGGAUGGUGGUACAUGUCUCUAAUCACAAUUCUCAGGAGGCUGAGGCAGGUGGAUCUCUGUGAGUUCAAGGCUAGCCUGAUCUACAGAGCAAGUUCCAGGACAGCCAGACUAUAUAGAGGAAACUAUUUUUUAAAAAAGUGCUCAGCAGUCUUAGCCAUUAGGGAAACACAAUUAAAAUGUCUUGAAGAUUCUGUCUCACCAGUCAGAAUGGUCAUCAUGAAGAAGCCAAGUGACAACAAACAGCAAAUUCUGGUUGCUUUCAGUCAUGGUGUGUCUCACAACAACAGAGAAGUCAACUACAAUGAGGUGCCAAAGAUUCUGCCCAGAGAGCACACUGACCCAAGUUCUCUCUGGGCAUGGUGGCCGGUGAGAACACUUCUGGAAGCUACAUUGUUCUUCUCUGCACGAGAGUCCCUCUUAACAGAUUACCAUCUCAGAGCAGUUACCUGACACAGCCAGUUAAAUUCUGGCAGCCCUGAGUCUACACAGGGACAUGAAGGAGAGCACGACACACAGAGGCCUGACAGGCUGUGUGUGCAAUCAGACGCACUUCUGUUUGGUGAAAAUGUUCAGACAGGAAUGUUUGUUCGAUUUUAUGAACUUUUCCAACCGUCCACCUCCUAAUAAAUUAUUAAUAGGCCACACAUGAGAUGCAGUGUCUUAGCUACAUUCACAUCACUGUGGCUACAGCACCAACAGGAAUGAUAUAGACAAAGAAGGACGGAUUUGGGCUCUGUUCUUUGGGAGUUCAUGGAGGCAGGAGGGUGUGGCAGAGGCUGUUCACAUCACAGCUGACCAGGAGGCAGAGCAACCAGCAAGAAUGGGCUAGAACCUCCAAAGGCUUGCUUCUAAUGACCCACUGCUACCAGCUAGACCCCCUCUUUAAGGUUCCACAGCCCCCUCUAAAUAGUGGCAGCAGUUGGGUGCAGCAGUUCAAAGCAUGAGCCUGCUGAGGACAAUUUAGAUUCUAAUCCUAAUAGUAACCCUUCCUUUAAUCUCUCAGAUGCCUUAAACCCUCAGUGUGGAGACAAGAUUUGGAAGACAAGAUGGCUUUGGACCUGACCUGGCUGGGGCCAUGAGGAAGAGAUAGGAAGAGAUAACAGACGCACAUACAGAAAAGCUGGGGCACGGUUGGCUGUGCACUUGGAUGGAGCCAUAGAAUGUGACUGGAAACAAAUUAAUAUGAACAGCAUGGAUGCGGAGGUGGGCGAGCCGAUCUUGGUUCAGGUCUCUGUGGAGGAGCAGUCCCAGGCUGCAGUCAUCAAGAAGGAGGGAGCUUUUGUGGUUGAUGCUUUCUGCACAUGCUCUCAACAUUUGUACUUGGACCAGGGGAAUACACAUUCACUCUGGACUUCAUCAGCUUCCCACAGUGAAAACAGCAGUCAGGGAAAAGUGAGUCAUCAUUAUCAGCAGAUGUUCUCUUCAUGUGGAUAUGUAAUCUAGCUUGCCUUGUGAUCAUGCAGCCUCAGUGCCCUGCCCCAGUGCUGGAUUACAGGUGAACAUUACCAUGCCUGGUUCAGACUUUUCUUACCACCCCUUCUGCCUUAGGGUUUCUAUUGUGAUAAAACAUCAUGAUGGAAAGCAA